CACGUAGUUAGCCGGUGCUUAUUCUUCAGGUACCGUCAUUAGCAAAGAAUAUUAGCCUCUACCGUUUCUUCCCUGACAAAAGAGCUUUACAACCCGAAGGCCUUCUUCACUCACGCGGCAUUGCUGGAUCAGGCUUGCGCCCAUUGUCCAAAAUUCCCCACUGCUGCCUCCCGUAGGAGUCUGGACCGUGUCUCAGUUCCAGUGUGGCUGGUCGUCCUCUCAGACCAGCUACUGAUCGUCGCCUUGGUGAGCCUUUACCUCACCAACUAGCUAAUCAGAUAUCGGCCGCUCCAGGAGCACAAGGCCCGAAGGUCCCCUGCUUUCAUCCAUAGAUCGUAUGCGGUAUUAGCGUAACUUUCGCUACGUUAUCCCCCACUCUUGGGUACGUUCCGAUAUAUUACUCACCCGUUCGCCACUCGUCAGCGGAGCAAGCUCCUGUUACCGUUCGACUUGCAUGUGUAAAGCAGUCGCCGACCAGCCGUUCAAUUCUGACGCCAGGUA
rnacentral:rRNA from 1 species